GAUGAACGCUGGCGGCGUGCUUAACACAUGCAAGUCGAGCGAAGCACUUUGGAAAGAUUCUUCGGAUGAUUUCCUUUGUGACUGAGCGGCGGACGGGUGAGUAACGCGUGGGUAACCUGCCUCAUACAGGGGAAUAACAGUUAGAAAUGACUGCUAAUACCGCAUAAGACCACGGUACCGCAUGGUACAGUGGUAAAAACUCCGGUGGUAUGAGAUGGACCCGCGUCUGAUUAGGUAGUUGGUGGGGUAACGGCCUACCAAGCCGACGAUCAGUAGCCGACCUGAGAGGGUGACCGGCCACAUUGGGACUGAGACACAGCCCAGACUCCUACGGGAGGCAGCAGUGGGGAAUAUUGCACAAUGGAGGAAACUCUGAUACAGCGACGCCGCGUGAAGGAUGAAGUAUUUCGGUAUGUAAACUUCUAUCAGCAGGGAAG
rnacentral:rRNA from 1 species